AGAGUUUGAUCCUGGCUCAGGACGAACGCUGGCGGCGUGCUUAACACAUGCAAGUCGAACGGAAAGGCCCCUUCGGGGGUACUCGAGUGGCGAACGGGUGAGUAACACGUGGGUGAUCUGCCCUGCACUUUGGGAUAAGCCUGGGAAACUGGGUCUAAUACCGAAUAGGACCGCAUGCUUCAUGGUGUGUGGUGGAAAGCUUUUGCGGUGUGGGAUGGGCCCGCGGCCUAUCAGCUUGUUGGUGGGGUAAUGGCCUACCAAGGCGACGACGGGUAGCCGGCCUGAGAGGGUGUCCGGCCACACUGGGACUGAGAUACGGCCCAGACUCCUACGGGAGGCAGCAGUGGGGAAUAUUGCACAAUGGGCGCAAGCCUGAUGCAGCGACGCCGCGUGGGGGAUGACGGCCUUCGGGUUGUAAACCUCUUUCAGUAUCGGCGAAGCUCCAGGAUUUUUCUUGGGGUGACGGUAGGUACAGAAGAAGCACCGGCCAACUACGUGCCAGCAGCCGCGGUAAUACGUAGGGUGCGAGCGUUGUCCGGAAUUACUGGGCGUAAAGAGCUCGUAGGUGGUUUGUCACGUUGUCCGUGAAAACUCACAGCUUAACUGUGGGCGUGCGGGCGAUACGGGCAGACUGGAGUACUGUAGGGGAGACUGGAAUUCCUGGUGUAGCGGUGGAAUGCGCAGAUAUCAGGAGGAACACCGGUGGCGAAGGCGGGUCUCUGGGCAGUAACUGACGCUGAGGAGCGAAAGCGUGGGGAGCGAACAGGAUUAGAUACCCCGGUAGUCCAA
rnacentral:rRNA from 1 species